AAAAAAGAGGAGCAUGCAAACAAUAAACACAGCGAAGGACUUUACGCAAAAUUUUGAAAAAUCCAAAAUCCAAAUUCUUUUAUCCAGUCAUGAAGGACAAUAAAAGAAAUAAAGAUAUAAAGUAACAAGAGAAUCAUAAGUCUUUUCAUUAGUAAUAUUUGUUAAAAAGAAAAUAUCCCAAUAAAUGGUAGACCAUCUGAGGUCUAAAAGACAGUCAUAUGUGCAUUGUGAAGGCAAAUGUAAAAAUGAUGAAAGGCCAUGGAAAAUGGAGUAUUACCGUUCCACAAGCCUAACCAAAAACAACGCAAGAACAAUAAUCACCUAGCCUGUAUUACUAGCUGAAAAAAGAGGAAUGGGGCUGAAAUAAAUUUCAAGAGGAUCAAACAAAUUUUACAGCUUUAUUCAUAAAUCUCCAAGAGCAUAAUACACAGUCCUUAAAAAUAGUGCAUUUCUUCUCUAUGCUUUUAUCCCCUUUUUGGAGGAAAAUAAAUUAAAGUAAUAAGGCACAAGGGUGGACCAAUUUUCCCAAUAUUAUCAACAACAUUGAUGUGAUAAAUCAUCCAGCGCAAUUGAAAUCUACAGAAAACAUAAUAAUAUUCUGAUGCCCCAUAAAAACAGCUCUUAAAUGAUAGACUGAGAAUUUGCAGGAAUUUAUGACCUUAAUUUUAUGAUCUGAAAACAUGCUAGACUAAUAAGAUAGAAUUUUAAGCUUUUCAUUUAAUUCUGUCCUCCCAAACCUCUG
rnacentral:misc_RNA from 1 species